UUUUAAGUACAAAAAAUAAUUUUGCAAAUUAUUUUUUCUUAAAGU
rnacentral:tRNA from 1 species